rnacentral:rRNA from 1 species
GUAAAAAGCUUGUAGUUGAAAUUGUNUCCUGCGGUGUCGGUCYACCGUAAGCGGUACGACAGGCACGUCUGCGGGGCUUCUCGCCGGUGCGUCCCCUGCCUGCGUGCGUCGGUCGAUCUAAACGGUCGGCCGCGCAUUGCGGCGGGCCGUCGCGGCUGUUUACUUUGAACAAAUUAGAGUGCUCAAAGCGGGCUAACACUCGCCUGAAUAUUGUACGCAUGGAAUAAUAGAAUAGGACCUCGGUUCAAUUUUGUUGGCUUUNNNNNNNNNNNNNNNGUAAUGAUUAANNNGGACAACUGGGGGCAUUCGUAUUGCGACGUUAGAGGUGAAAUUCUUGGAUCGUCGCAAGACGGACUAAAGCGAAAGCAUUUGCCAAAGGUGUUUUCAUUAAUCAAGAACGAAAGUUAGAGGUUCGAAGGCGAUUAGAUACCGCUGUAGUUCUAACCAUAAAUGAUGCCAGCCAGCGAUCCGCCGAAGUUUCAUAUUUUUAACCCGGUGGGCAGCUCCCGGGAAACCAAAGCUUUC